UAAUCCCAACACUUCACAUUCAUUUUCACCUACAUAGGCGACUUACAAUGGACAUUAAAAUCAUUAUCAUUAUCACUCUCGGCCUGUGUUGCUGUGUGUUUUAUGGAAAUGCCGAAAAGAAAAAAAUGAAGUUUCGAAUUGUAGACGGUAGAACAACUACCGACAUUCCAACUCCUGUCCCCGAGUACAGCGUGGAAAGUGGGGGCAAUGGAGGGGGAAAACAAAGCUCUGUAGAGGCCCCCGACCACCAGACGAGUGAGGGCAUGUCUGUCAGGGGUUAUGUAUUUAGUACCGCUCUCCUCGGCGUGGGAGUGUGGUUGCUUCUCCAUCUCCCCGAUGUCUAUCGGAGAAUACUAGUGAUCAUUAUGCCAGGGAGAUAAUUUGUGUCAACUUUAAACUCAGAAUUGCGUGUCAAAAAUCAAAAGGUAAAACAUUUGGAAGAAAUUGAAAACAAAAUAGUGAGCAGCUAAUUAAGGAACUUCAACAUGUUCAAGAGUAAUUCUUUGGAAUAAACAUGGAAACAGUUAUUUUGUAUAAAGACAUAGGUCUACUUCGAUAAAAAAAAAAAUUGCAUUAAUGCCCAUCUUUUAUGGAUAUCAUCGUUCUAUGCUUGCGCAAUUUAGAUGUGGUGUGUUACCUAGAAGAAUUGAAACAGGACGGAAUAGGAGAAGGCUUUAUCUGGUAGAAUGUGUACAUAUUGUUGAAGAUGAAUGUCACUUUUUGCUUCACUGGUACCGCAUAUUCAAAUCCUAGAUUCUAAUUUUCUUAUCAAUAUUGGAUUUGACCCCCACCGUAAUCAAUAUGUCAACUUUAAACAAAACCAUUUUUUCCCAUCAAAUUUUCCUAGACAAACUACAAACUUUUUGUACUUAGUCUGUUAUAUAUACUAAACACCAUGCGUUAAUGUCAGUGUAUUUUAAUAUAAAUGUUAUUCUGUUAGAAGUGAAAAGUAGGCCCGAUGGGCCAGGUGUUUAAAUUUCUAUAUGUGUAUUUUUAUGUCGUGAUUGUAUAUAACAUAUGUCACUAUAAUGAACCAUUUACUUACUUACUUAUAUAUGUACAGGUAUUAGUUCUUCAUUAGCUCCACCUCCUUCAGAUUGGGCGAGGAAGUGGUUGUAAAUAUCUUAAGUCCAUUUGUGUUUGUAUAUGUCCAUAUGUGUGUGAGUGAAGGCGGAAGGCUUUGUAAAUGUACGCGUGUUUGUGUAGAACCAGUUGAUCUAUGAAAAUCAUUUCAUAACAAAAUUCAGCAAAAAUCGUAUAAAUUAUUUUCAUGUACACCUCAUUACAAUAUUGUCACUUCUUCUAAUAAUCUGUUUGACCUUUGUAUUUCUACAUAGGCUAUGCCUGUUGCCCGAUCCUUUUGAGUUCAUCAGUAAAAUACAUGUUUAAAUUAAACCGAGGAAGUUACAUAAUUGUUAUGUUAAUUCCGUUUGUACUCAUCCUCACGAUGUGGAGGUUUUGUGAUUUCAAACUUUGAUAUUGUGAGGGUGCUUUGUACUAUAGAGAAUCUAUUUUGGAGGACUGAAUCGGGGAUAAUAAUUCCGUUUGUAUUUGUAAACGUAUUACGAAUCGAGGAAGCUACACUUUCGUCUUUAUACUGGAUACUUACUUGAUAGGAAGCAAGACAAGGUUUCCCUUCCUCAUAGAAGAAUUACUUUUUCCGAUUUUGCAAUUUUGCAUGUGAAAUAAUUCAGUUACACUACAUAACACAUGCACUUAAAUGUUUAACAUGUUUUGCCACUAGACAUUAUCUGUAUUAAAAAUGACUUUGAUUUAAACAUGUUUUAAUGUACAAUUGAUAUACAAAUCAAGGCUCGGAGUUCCGACACAAGCCCAUAUAAUAUUUAUACACCAGAGUCAAUUACCAUUUUAUAAGAUAGUUCAUUUCUAAGGCAUUAUUUCGAGCAACAACGCACGUGGCAUUAUGCAAUUCCCAAACGCAGAGUGAAAUCCUUAACUUUUGAGUCGUAAUGUUUUUGCCCGUGAUUCGAAUAAAACGCAGAAUAUAAUCAAUUUAGUUAAAGAAUAAGCGUAAAGAUUACCAAAUAUCGCUUUAUUGCCCGUUCGGGAAACGUUGUUGCAACAUUAUUCAUACAAAACUUAAAUAAUUGAAUUUACUCAACUGUAAGAUUUAUGACGUUGUAACAUGAACAAAUUGGCCAUCUUUAGAUGCUUAUCACUUUUUGUUUUAUCUUGUACUUUUAAUCUUACACUGACAUAUAUCCAUAGGCAUGAGACAAACAUUUCAACAAAAGUUUACAAAUAAAUAAGUCGCUCAUUCUUGAUGGCGAGUUCUUGAUGCGGAAUUGUAGCACAGAAGUAUAUUUUUUCAUUGUACAUGCCUUUUUUGUGCAUGGGAAAUUUGACAGGUUUAAAUAUCACUGUGGCUUGAAAAUUGUAUAACGUUACCAAACGUUAUAGGAGGUUGUCAACUUGUCAGUUGUAUUUCAUAGGGCAUAGCGACUUGUAUUCAAUCUUUUUAUUUUUGCUAUAUAGGCUAAUGAAUUAUGUUUUAGACAAGAAAACAUGUUUUUUAGUAACAACAAAUAUGAGAUGUUUUCGAAUGAAUACAAUAACCAUUUCUAAGUAUGAAUGCAGUAUGGGAAGGAUAUUUUUUUCUUCAUAUGAAAUAUUGUUUUUGAUGUUGUCAUAGGACUUGCUUGUAUAUCGAAAUUGCUCUCCAAUUUGUUAUAAUUCAUCGUCAGUUUGUGUAUUUGUUAUAAUUCAUCUUCAGUUUGUGUAUUUGUUAUAAUUCAUCUUCAGUUUGUGUAUUUCGAUAAGGCUUUGAUUCAAUUUUCAAGAAUGUUUAAUUAAUCAUAUUUGAUGUACAUGUAAUGUUCUAUCUAAUUUUCAUGCAUUGUCGGAACACACGUUUUUCCCCCUCCAACAUAGAGUAACGGAGAGAAAAUCCGUGCGUUCCGACGGUGAUUUUCAUGCAUAUGUAUCUGCAUGUACAUUUAAAGAAUUCUAAACGCUUUCCAAGGUCCCUAAUACAACGUCAUAGGUAAUAACUCAGUAUCGGUAAUCGGGACAUCACUCGGCCUAUUCCGGAUAAUAUUCUCCGGAAUAGGCCGAGUGAUGUUCCGAUUGUCAGUAUCGGCUGAGCAUGUGUUGAUUUGCCGUAAGUUCAGUAGAUACUGUACAUGUAUGGAUGUGAAUAAUACUAGACAAGUGAUAUCAGUCGUUCUUAUAUGCAUAAUUUGAUUAUCAAAUUAAACUGAACGGAAGAGGAAGUAUGUAGAUAGAUUUAGAUAAAACCUGUCGUUGAGUGGCUAUUUGUAUAUAGACAUUAGUGUGUCCGAAAACUUAUUAUUUUUCUGAUAAAUGUGAAUUUUUAACGUAGUAGGUAUGAACAUGGCUAUUUUUAUUCUGACGUUUUCAGGAUACGGCUACAAUUCCAUAGGAUCUUCGUAAUGGUGCAAAAUAAUUUUAUGAAUAACCGAUAAUAAUUAAGCUCCGUAUAUUAGUUGUCUUUAAUGUUGUUUACACUAAAAAGAGUACCUAGUCUGCGUUUGGGCAUAUCUAAUAAAGGUGUUUUCAUUAAAUAUCGUGUACUACAUGCAAGAUUCUUCAUCUGUUCAGCCAUGCUUGUUAACGUGAGAUCUACUGAAGAACCAUAACAUUGAUAAUCAUCGCGAUGUUGAACACGGACUCGAGCCGACAUUCCGACAAAGAAAAGAACAACGGAAGAAGUUGUACCUUUCGUUGUUUUGUUUUUCAAAUAGCUUGACUUGAUAUCAAAUUUAAACUUUACUGAUACCAACGAAAUCGUUUUCUCCUCCGUACUCGUACAUUGAUGUAAACACUACCUUAUAUGGACAUAUACAAAUAAUUUGACAACCGGAAGUUCAGCUUCAGUACGUCUAAAAUGGCGCACUAUAUUAAUCGGGAGAUUGGAAUACAUCGAAAUUUAUUUAAAACGAUAGAAUAAGAGUCUGACAAAUCGCAAGCAGCAAGUUGUAAAUUUAUCUAUUGACUAAGAAACAUAUAAUAUGAUUUGAAAACCAGCAAAUGUUCAGAAUGAUCGCGAGUGUUGUGGGACUGAAUCACUCCCGCAUGCACCAUUACGAAGAUCCUAAGGAGUUAUAGCCCUCUCUUCCCACAAAGUCGAAAAGGGCUACGUUAUUGCAGCUAGUAACAUACACGUUAUUUGGGGUGCAAGAAAUGAGGUCAAUUAACAAAUGAUAUGUAUUUUACUGCAAAUUGUAUUUCAAAGGUAUUUACAAUUAUAAUGUGCGAGGUACAGACUUCGUAAAAUAUGAAUGUGGGUGAGUGUGGAUGUGUGUGUGUGUGUGUGUGUAAAACGCCACACAAUGUAACUUAUUAACCUUGCCCGAUCAUAUACUGGGGUCCAACUCACAUGUACUCGUGUGUUUUACCUAACAGUAAUGGCUGUAAACAGUGUUCACGUGUUUUGUUGAUUUAUUUUUAGUUUUUCUUGUGCGCAUUGUUUGAAAAAGAGGAUUUACCGGAAUUGCUGAAAAGUUGUUUCAAAUUUGUCUACCCCUUAACAUAAACUUAAAACUCAAAUAUACAGAAAAGACGGAAAAUUCUUCAUCACAUGCGCUGAAAUGUUGAAGAAUUAUAAAGGUUGAUGACCAUAUUGUAGUAAUUAAUUAGUAUGAUAAGAAUUUAUGUUGCAUUAAUUAAUUAGUAUGAUAAGAAUUUAUGUUGUAUUAAUUAAUUAGUAUGAUAAGAAUUUAUGUUGCAUUAAUUAAUUAGUAUGAUAAGAAUUUAUGUUGCAUCAAUUAAUUAAUAUGAUAAGAAUUUAUGUUGUAUUAAUUACAUGUAAUUAGUAUGAUAAGAAUUUAUGUUCCACUGACUUUAAUAUUGGAUUUGAUGGAUUGAUUGAGUUUGAAAAUGAAUAUAAUAUCGAUAUUCAGAAUUUUUCCCUGUUUUGAUUUAAUGGCGAGUCUUGCAUUGGGAUUUUCAAAAAAUGAUUAAACUUUUCUGUAGUGUC